AACGAACGCUGGCGGCAUGCCUAACACAUGCAAGUCGAACGAGACCUUCGGGUCUAGUGGCGCACGGGUGCGUAACGCGUGGGAACCUGCCCUUAGGUUCGGAAUAACUCCCCGAAAGGGGUGCUAAUACCGGAUAAUGUCUUCGGACCAAAGAUUUAUCGCCUUUGGAUGGGCCCGCGUUGGAUUAGCUAGUUGGUAGGGUAAAAGCCUACCAAGGCGACGAUCCAUAGCUGGUCUGAGAAGAUGAUCAGCCACACUGGGACUGAGACACGGCCCAGACUCCUACGGGAGGCAGCAGUGGGGAAUAUUGGACAAUGGGCGAAAGCCUGAUCCAGCAAUGCCGCGUGAGUGAUGAAGGCCUUAGGGUUGUAAAGCUCUUUUACCCGGGAUGAUAAUGACAGUACCGGGAGAAUAAGCUCCGGCUAACUCCGUG
rnacentral:rRNA from 1 species